rnacentral:rRNA from 1 species
UACGGGGGGGGCAAGCGUUGUUCGGAAUUACUGGGCGUAAAGGGCGCGUAGGCGGCCUGCUAAGUCACACGUGAAAUCCCUCGGCUCAACCGGGGAACUGCGUGUGAUACUGGCGGGCUCGAAUUCGGGAGAGGGAUGUGGAAUUCCAGGUGUAGCGGUGAAAUGCGUAGAUAUCUGGAGGAACACCGGUGGCGAAGGCGGCAUCCUGGACCGAGAUUGACGCUGAUGCGCGAAAGCUAGGGUAGCAAACGGGAUUAGAAACCCCGGUAGUCC